GUUGAUCCCGCCGGAGAUCACUGUUAUCAGGGUUCGAUUAAGCCAAGCGAGGUGAAUGUGUUCCUUCGGGAAUGCAUACCACACUGCUGAGUAACACGUAGUUAAUCUGCCCUUAGGUGGAGGAUAAACCUGGGAAACUGGGGAUAAUACUCUAUAGGUGAAAAAUACUGGAAUGUUUUUUCACUUAAAACUACGGUGCCUAAGGAUGAGACUGCGGCGUAUCAGGCUGUUGUCAGGGUAAUGACCUGACAAACCUAUAACGCGUAGGGGCCAUGAGAGUGGGUGCCUCCAGAUGCCCUCUGAGACAUGAGGACAGGGCCUACGGGUCGCAGCAGGCGCGAAAACUUUCCAAUGCGUGCAAGCGUGAGAAGGGAACCUUGAGUGCUUAUGCUCAGCAUAAGCUUUUGCCAAGUCUAGAAAGCUUGGCGAAUAAGGGGUGGGCAAUACGGGUGCCAGCCGCCGCGGUAAUACCCGAGCCCCGAAUGGUGAUCACGAUUAUUGGGCUUAAAGCGUUCGUAGCCGGCUUAGAAAGUUCUUGGUGAAAUCCUGCAGCUAACUGUAGGGCUCGCUUUGAAUACUACUAGGCUUGGGACUGGGAGAGGUCUGGGGUAUUCCAUGGGUAGGGGUUAAAUCCUUUAAUCCAUGGAGGACCACCUGUGGCGAAGGCGCCAGACUGGAACGGGUCCGACGGUGAGGAACGAAAGCUAAGGGAGCAACCCGGAUUAGAUACCCGGUUAGUCCUAGCUGUAAACGAUGCCCGUUUGGUGUUGCGUGUCUUACGGGGAUAUGCAGUGCCGGAGCGAAAGUGUUAAACGGGCCGCCUGGGGACUACGGCCGCAAGGCUAAAACUUAAGGGAAUUGGCGGGGAAGCACACAAGAGGUGGAGCGUGCGGUUCAAUUGGAGUCGACGCCGGGUAUCUCACCAGGGCUGACAGCAGCAUGAUGGUCAGUCUGAAGGGCUUACCUGACGCGCUGAAAGGAGUUGCAUGGCCAUCGUCAGCUCGUACCUUGAGGCGUGCCGUUAAGUCGGUUAACGAGCAAGACCCACACUAUCAGUUGCUAUUGUUCUUUCCGAAGGACAAGCACUCUGAUGGGACCGCUACUGAUAAAGUGGAGGAAGGAGUGGGCUACGAUAGGUCUGUAUGGCCCUAAUGUCCUGGGCUACACGCGCGCUACAAUGGUUGGGACAAUGUGAUGCGACCCUGAAAAGGGAAGCCAAUCACCCAAACCCAAUCUUAGUUCGGAUUGAGGGCUGAAAUUCGCCCUCAUGAAGCUGGAAUCUCUAGUAAGCGAACGUCACUAUCGUUCGCUGAAUACGUCCCUGCUUCUUGCACACACUGCCUGUCAAGCCAUCUUAGUGAGUUUUUGGCGAGGCUCUGUUUACCUUUCGGGGAUAAAUGGAGUCAAGCUAGGGGCAUGCAAGGAGGGCUAAGUCAUAACAA
rnacentral:rRNA from 1 species